AUUUACACACGCAGCAGCCCGUGAAGGACAUUUGCCCACAUUUCUCUCGUGUAUUAAUGCAGAAUCGAAUAGUCCACGUGCCGCACUACUUUUCCAACUGAUUUGCACAAUCGCCGUCACUUUUGUCGAUACUGAGAGGUGAGAUUUUCAAAAACUAUUGCAAAUUGGAAAAAAAACCGAAGGAAAAGCUUUAAAAAUCGCGAUUUUAGGCCAUUUUCAAGCUCGUGGCCUAACUUUUCACUUGGUGGCCUAGAAAAUUAUGUUAGGCCAUGUGUCGGGAGAUUAUGAAGAGAGAUAUCAAAUACUUUUUGAAUGACUCAAAAAUAUUGAUUUUGAGCCAAGUUAUGGCCGUUUGAAGUUGGUGGCCUAGGAUUUGCCUGGAGAUUUCUAGGCCAUCAACUUCAAACGGCCAUAACUUGGCUCAAAAUUGAUAUUUUUGAAAUCUAAAACAUUCAUUAAAUUUAGCAGGCACCGAGUUUUCAACGUGACCAGAAAUUUGAAAAUUUCCUGAAAUUUUGGGUCCCGCCACGAAAACUCGCGGAGCUACAGUACUCCUGGCGAAAUAGGUGUUGAAUGAAAGCGCUGAGUCUGCUGAAUUCAAAUUUUGUUUUAGAUUUCAAAAAUAUUGAAUUUGGGCCAAGUUAUGGCCGUUUUAAGUUGGUGGCCUAGGAUUUUCGGAGGGGGUUUCUAGGCCACCGACAUAACUUUGCUCAAAAUUGAUAUUUUCGAGAAAUAAAAAAAGGUUUUAACAUAAAAUCUUGUGAUCUACCGGAAAGUGCAUAGAUGGCCGAACUUUUAGAUUUCUAGGCCACCAACUGAAAAAUUUCGGCCACCAAACUGAAACUCAGCGGAAAAUCGACAUUUUUGAGCGAAAUAAAAAGUAUUUAGUGUAAAAUCUUGUGUUCCACCGAAAAUUUGCCAAUUCAUGGCCUAACUUUGACUUCUAGGCCACCAGGUGAAAAGUUCGGCCACCAAUUUGAAACUCGCCGGAAAAUCAACAUUUUUCAGCCAAAUAAAUGCUAUUUUAAGUGAAUUUCUCUCCAAUUUCCAGCCUAAUCACCUACGUAACAUUUGUAAUGUUCGGCCAACGCGUGUUCACAAUGGCGGCACUAUUGUGGAUCAGAUAUCGAAAUAUUCCCGUACAUCCCGACGCAAUCCGGGUUCCACUCAUCUUUUCGAUUCUUUUUUUCAUGAUUACCAUCGCUCUUGUCGUCACCCCGUUUAUCGAGGAUUUUACGG
rnacentral:sRNA from 1 species